rnacentral:rRNA from 1 species
AUGGGCGAUGUACGAAUCCUGUCUCGGCGCAUGGUACGGCCGGAGCCAACAUCCUUGCGGCCGCUGGAGCCGGAGACCAUCCACCUGACUCCAUGGGAUCUCAAGAAUAUCACCGUGGAGCACAUCCAGAAGGGCAUCCUCCUGCCCAAGCCUCCCACCACCGGAGGACACGUCGACGUCGAGCGUCUCGCUUCUUCCUUUGCGGGCGCCAUUGGCCGCUUCUACCCUUAUGCCGGACGCCUCGUCGUCGCCGUCGCGCCUCAGAGCCAGAGCCUCAUCAUUUCGCUCCGCUGCAGCGGCGAGGGCGCCGAGUUCAUCCACGCCAUGGCACCGGCCGUCACCAUCGCCGACGUCACCGCCUCGCCCGUCGUUCCGCGGGUGGUCUCGUCCUUCUUCCCACUCGACAGGCUACUCGGUGUGGACGCCGCUGCGGGCUCGCGCCCGGUCCUGGCGGCGCAGGUCACGGAGCUCGCCGACGGCGUCUUCAUCGCCGUGUCGAUGAACCACGGCAUCGCCGACGGGACAACAUUCUGGCAGUUGUUCAACACCUGGUCGGAGCUAAGCCGUGCCGGCGCCGGCGACAAUGUCAUAAACUCCAUGCCGUUGCCGGUCUUCGACAGGAGUUUCCUUGGCAGCUGCUGCGCCGUGCCCAUCCCUCUACCCUUCGGGAAACUGGGUGACGUCGUCGGCCAGCGUGUACACUUGUUCCCGCCGGUGCAAGAAUGCUUCAUCCAUUUCUCUGCAGCGAGCGUAAAGGAGCUCAAGGCGAAGGCGAACGCUGAGAUGUCCGGCUCCGGCACCGGUAGCACCAUCUCCUCGCUGCAGGCCCUCCUCGCGCACCUGUGGCGCGCCGUUUGCCGAGCCCGGCAGCUCUCGCCGGACCAGGAAACAGCGUACAUUGUGCUAGUGGGAUUCCGUGGACGCGUUGGUGGCAUACCGGCAUCUUACGCGGGCAAUGCUGUGGGGAACGCCACUGCCAAGUCCACCGCCGGCGACAUCGUGGGCAAGGGCCUGGGCUGGGCGGCAUGGCUCCUGAACCGUGCCGUGGCGUCGUGCGACGAAGCCAGCACUAGGGACAAGCUCGCGUCCUGGCCCCAGGAGCCUAGCUUCAAUUGCCUGCCCGGGUUCGUGGCCGCCGUUCCCACGGGAACGUUCACAGGGAGCUCGCCCAGGUUCGACGUGUACGGGAACGACUUCGGGUGGGGCGCGCCGGUUGCCGUCCGGAGCGGCUCGGGGAACAAGGUGGAUGGGAAGGUGACUGUGUAUGCAGGCCGAGCCGGCGGAGGGAGCAUGGCGCUGGAGGUGUGCCUCGCUCCAGAGGCGCUCGCUAGGCUCGUUGCCGAUGGGGAGUUCAUGAGCGCCACCAGUACCGUUGAAUAA